GCCGAGGUAGCUCAGUUGGUAGAGCGCAGGACUGAAAAUCCUGGCGUCCGCGGUUCGAUUCCGCGCCUCGGCA
rnacentral:tRNA from 1 species